rnacentral:pre_miRNA from 13 species
CGUGUGUUGCGUGUGUUAGAGGUUGGGUCUUUGCGGGCAAGGUGAGUAUCUAAACUCUCAACUGGCCUACAAAGUCCCAGUUUCUGGCUCAUGUGAUCUGC